GUCCACGCCCUAAACGAUGUCUACUAGUUGUUGGGUCUUAAUUGACUUAGUAACGCAGCUAACGCGUGAAGUAGACCGCCUGGGGAGUACGGUCGCAAGAUUAAAACUCAAAGGAAUUGACGGGGACCCGCACAAGCGGUGGAUGAUGUGGAUUAAUUCGAUGCAACGCGAAAAACCUUACCUACCCUUGACAUGUACAGAAUGCCGAAGAGAUUUGGCGGUGCUCGCAAGAGAACUGUAACACAGGUGCUGCAUGGCUGUCGU
rnacentral:rRNA from 1 species